AGUCGCGUAGCUCAGCUGGUUAGAGCACCACCUUGACAUGGUGGGGGUCGGUGAUUCGAAUUCACUCGCGACUACCA
rnacentral:tRNA from 3 species